rfam:Felis catus isolate Cinnamon breed Abyssinian chromosome B3, whole genome shotgun sequence.
GCCUGGGUGGCUCAGUCGGUUGAGCGUCCGACUUCGGCUCAGGUCAUGAUCUCAUGGUCUGUGAGUUCGAGCCCCGCGUCAGGCU